rnacentral:rRNA from 1 species
CUCAAGGUCUGUACCGUUUGGGUCACGCCCCACUGUAGGAUACUCACCGCUGUCCUUAACUGGGUGGCGGUCAAAGGGGGUGUGCAUGGGGGCAACUCUGUGCAUAUCUCUGGGGUUCCUACUCUUUUACUUUGAGCAAAUUAGAGUGUUCAAAGCAGGCAAUCGAGCCUUGAAUACUUCAGCAUGGGAUAAUGGAACAGGACUGGGGUCCUGAUUUCGUUGGUUUCUAGGAUCUCAGUAAUGAUUAAUAGGGAUAGUUGGGGGCAUUAGUAUUUAAUUGUCAGAGGUGAAAUUCUUGGAUUUAUGAAAGACUAACUUCUGCGAAAGCAUUUGCCAAGGAUGUUUUCAUUAAUCAAGAACGAAAGUUAGGGGAUCGAAGACGAUCAGAUACCGUCGUAGUCUUAACCAUAAACGAUGCCGACCAGCGAUUGGGAGACGUUACAUGGAUGACUCCCCCAGCAGCUUGCGAGAAAUCACAAGUCUUUGGGUUCCGGGGGGAGUAUGGUCGCAAGGCUGAAACUUAAAGGAAUUGACGGAAGGGCACCACCAGGAGUGGAGCCUGCGGCUUAAUUUGACUCAACACGGGGAAACUUACCAGGUCCAGACAUAGUAAGGAUUGACAGAUUUGAGAGCUCUUUCUUGAUUCUAUGGGUGGUGGUGCAUGGCCGUUCUUAGUUGGUGGAGUGAUUUAUCUGGUUAAUUCCGUUAACGAACGAGACCUUAACCUGCUAAAUAUGUCACUGGUAGACUUCUGCCAAAACAGGUGGGUGUCUAGGGGAAAGCUUCGAUGGACUCCGACGCAUUCAUCUGUGGAUGACUACCAGGAUGUACUUCUUAGAGGGACUAUCUGUAUCAAAGCAGAUGGAAGUUUGAGGCAAUAACAGGUCUGUGAUGCCCUUAGAUGUUCUGGGCCGCACGCGCGCUACACUGACAAGUUCAACGAGUUUAACACCUUGCUCGAUAGGGCUGGGUAAUCUUUGAAAAACUUGUCGUGAUGGGGAUAGAUCAUUGUAAUUAUUGGUCUUCAACGAGGAAUUCCUAGUAAGCGUGAGUCAUCAGCUCGCGUUGAUUACGUCCCUGCCCUUUGUACACACCGCCCGUCGCUCCUACCGAUUGAAUGAUCCGGUGAAAUGUUGGGAGCUGGGGUCUUUUGGCGGCGGGGCAACUCGUCGUCAGGGAUUCUGCAAACUUCAUUAAACCUUAUCAUUUAGA